UUUCUUGUUUAAUAUUUUUGUUACCUUUUAUAAGUAUUCGUUUGUUUGUUACAAAUGUUGUUUAAUAAUUGAAUGUUUAUUUGAGUAUUUGUAUUUUAUCUUCUUAACAAUUACCAAUAGUGACACCUACUGGUGAAAAUAUGUAGCAUUGUACGUAUGUAGGUCACGUGUGUUUUUGAUAAGCUGCAUUGAACAUUGGGAAAGCACGAGGUGAUCACACGAACGGAGAAGUGUAAGAUCAAAAGAAGUGUAUAGAUUAAUAAGAUUGUUUGUUAAGAAGAUUUCUAAUGUCUCCUGAAUCCUGAUUGGAAAGCACACGGUAUGUUUGUUUGUGUUUUGGUUAAUUUUGUGUAUAAUUUAAGGUAUUUUGUGUAUAAGUAUGUUUAAGCCAUAUGAUUAAUCUACAAUGUAAUGUAAAAUAAUUUCAUCACAAAUGUAAUUGCUAUUUUAUUUUAUUCUUUAGUUUUUCACGGUGCUCAGUUGAUGUUUGUGAUGACAAGGGGACAGACAUUAAAACUGAAAAUCUGAAUCUGAAGGCAUCAGUUGAAGCGUGUUUAUUUUCUAAUCACGGAGAAAAACUUCAGGAGCCGUUAUAGUGAAAAACGUGCAUUCACACCCUCUAAAAAAGUGCAAGAAUUAAUCGUGAAAAUGAAGAGUUGCCAGCCCUCGUGGUGAUGCAGUUGACCCGGUGGAAAAUAGCAGCCGUCAGUGGAGGUGAAAAUGUCGUCAUUCAAGGGAGCAGCGCGAUUUCGUCUUAUUGAAACUCCAUCUUGCUUUUCGCGUGACUGAAUUCCUUUCUGUGUAGAAGAGCAGCGCAAGAAGACAUUUUGCAGUGACAACUUAUAGCCACAAGGCGGCGAUGUUGCAAAGUUUUUGACAAUUCAGUCAUCAAGAAGAGUUGAAACCCUUGGAUUUGGAGGUCAGACUGUAUCUUUUCAGCUUGAAAAAUUUAUUUCUUGAUUGAUGUUGCAUUGACAUUUAUUCUAAUUGAAAUUGUAUGCAAAUGGUUGGAAAAAGUUUUUGCAUUUAAUACCUUUCUGAGUUGAGAUUAAUGUGUAACUUGUUUAAUAAUUGACAUUGUACAAUUUCAAUGUGUUAGUACAGCUGGCUAUUUGGGUUUAAAGCUGAAUAAUUUUGUGGUUUAAACCAAGUUACCAACAUGGAUGUAAAUAGAUCAGACAGUGUCUUAGACCAAGUCAUUCAAGCUCUUAAAGAUGAAAAAGCACAAUUAGAGGGGAAAAUAGAAACUGAAAUUGAUGUCUCAGAAAGACAAAAAUAUGAAGAACGCCUUGCAGAAAUUAAUGCAGAUUUGCAAGCUAAUAAGACAAAACUUCAAGGGUCAUCAUCACAAGUUGAGCAAGAAGUUAGGCGUUCAGAAAGAGAAAGACGUCCAACAGAAAAAAUGCUUGAGUUAAGACAUGAUGAGUUAGCAAAAAGAGAAAGGAAGUUUAUGUUUACAUACUUAAACUUUAAAGCUGAAGCUCAGUUUAUCAGAUCUAAACUGAAAGAACAAUGCUCUAAAACUGAGUUAGGGGAUAUGAUAGUGACUGCAGAAAAACGUGAAGCAGAGUUAAAACAAACCUAUGAGAGUAUUCGUGCAAUGAACGUCCCAUCUCAAGAUAUAAGAAGGAAAAUGGAUAGCUGCACUUCAGUGACUAGUGAAGUAACUGCACUGUUGAAAAGACGUUGCACAGAAGUUGACACUAAAGAGUUUGAUGCGGAGGCUGUUAAAGAAACACUCCUCCAGUUACUGCAAAGAGAUGACGCCAAGUCAAUUUAUGGAUCAACUGUGUCGAGAGCUGAAAAAGAAAGUCAGCAGGGAAGUCAUAUGUCAGUAAAAAGAGCGGAAGCAGCGGCACGCUUAGCUGCAAAACGUGCUGAACUAAAUCGAGAAAAAGAAAUCUCAGCUCAAAGAAAAGAGGUGCUAGCCCAACAAGAGAGGUUAAAAAUGCUGGAGGAACAAAGGGAUCUUGAAGUCAUAGAAGCUGAAUAUAGUGUGUAUGCAGAAGAGGAAUCAAGAUUGAACGCUGAAAUAGGAGAUACAAAAGAAAAAUGUGCUUUGCCUCCAUGUCAGCAUCCGCUGCAACACAAUAACCAUUCAUGCACCAAGGUUUCAAACUUUCAACCUUUAGCUCAACCGUGCUCUGAAAAUAAGCUAGAGACUAAAGUAGAUGAGGUUGUAUUAGUGAAAGCACUAACAGAAUCCCUGGCAAUGACCAAACUUCCAGCUCCAGAGCCAUUCACCUUUACAGGUGACCCACUCAAGUUCAUUGAAUGGCGCACUUGUUUUAAAGCUUUGAUUGAAACAAACUGCACAACUUCAGCACAUAGGCUGUUCUAUCUAAAAAAGUACAUAAGUGGAGAUGCUCUUAGUGUACUAGAGGGAACAUUUUAUAGGAGUGAUGAAGAUGCAUACACGCAAGCUUGGGAUGCCCUGAAUAAACGCUAUGGACAUUCUUUUGUAGUUCAAAGAGCAUUUAGGACAAAGCUGAGUAACUGGCCAAAAGUAGGACCUAAAGAAUCACUGAAAUUGAGGGAGUUUAGUGAUUUCCUUAUCUCCUGUAAAAAUGCAAUGCCUCAUGUACAUGGUUUGGGAGUUUUGGACGAUUGUGAAGAGAACCAGAAACUGCUUCAGAAACUUCCUGACUUUAUAACAACUCGCUGGAAUAGGCAUGUCAGUAAAGCACUCGAUGAUGAAAAGCCAUACCCAAGUUUUGCUGAGUUUUCAGACUUUGUGGCAGAAGAGGCACGUAUUGCAUGUAAUCCUGUUUCCUCUCUACAUGCUUUAAAACAUGCAGAUGAAAGGUUAGGAAAGGAGCAAAAACGUUUCAAAGCCAGUGCUCUGAUGCAAAAUGUUAAACCCAUUGCAAAGAACUUUAAUGCAUUGGAAAGAGAAACCAGUACCAAACUCAACCCUUCAGCUACUCGAGAUAAGAGACAACUAGAAUGUGUAUGCUGUCAGCAAAAUCACUUCAUAUACAAAUGUGAAAAGUUUGCGGCAAUGCCUCUUGAAGAGAAGAAAAAGUUUGUCAUCAACAACAAGAUGUGCUUUGGUUGUCUCAGAGUCGGCCAUAUCUCCAAAAACUGUAGAAAGCGAGCAACUUGCAACAUCUGCAGGCAAAGUCAUCCCUCUCCACUUCAUGAAGAACGUUUUCAAGGAGGAAAACCAGAAGCUUCAUCUGACGAAAGGGCUUCCAUUAGCUUAUGUAGUGUGGGAAUGGACAACUAUAAUCGCACUUCAAUGAUAGUUCCAGUAUGGCUCUCUUGUGCAAUAAAGGACAGCCCAGAAAUUCUAGCCUAUGCAUUGCUGGACACGCAGAGCAGUAAUACAUUCAUCAAUCAGGACAUCUGCGACAAACUUCAAGUACACACAGAACCUGUGAAAUUAAAGCUGUCCACAAUGACUGAUCGAGCUACGAUAGAGGAUUGUCAGAGAGUAGAUGGACUAAGAGUGAGAGGCUAUAGUUUGCAAGAGUACAUUGAGUUGCCACCAGUUUACACUCGAGACUACAUUCCCUUGGAACGAGAUAGCAUUCCUACUUGCAAAAAAGCUCAGAAAUGGACCCACCUGCUCAGUGUUGCAGACAAAAUGCCAGAUUUAUUGGAUUGUCCUGUAGGGCUUCUAAUUGGCUAUGAUUGUCCAAGAGCUCUAAAGCCAACCCAAGUGAUAUCAGGGAAUGAUAACGAGCCUUACGCAGUCAAAACAGACUUAGGCUGGAGUAUAGUGGGAUCCAUAGCUCCCAAUAGUUGCUCUAGAGAUGUAACAGGGUUCUGUCAUCGCAUAUCGGUGAAGGAACUCCCAGCUAUCACACCUGCCUCUAUAAUCAAGACAUUAGAAGCUGACUUCCGGGAUACAGAUUCAAAAGAGAGGACAAUAUCUCAGGAGGACAUUCAAUUUCUUCAACAGUUGGAUGAAAGGGUUCAACACAACAGAGAAGGACAUGUGGAAAUGCCCUUACCUUUCAGAAAGCGUCCUCAGUUGCCGAACAAUAAGCAGCUUGCUGUGGUUCGUUUGAGAUAUUUGAAAAGGAAAAUGGAGAGAAGUUCUAAGUACAGAGAAGACUAUGUGAGAUUUAUGGAUGGUGUCUUUAGAGAUGGAGAUGCUGAAGAAACAACUACCACUGGAAAAGAAGACAGUACAUGGUACAUCCCACACCACGGGGUAUACCACCCAAGAAAGCCAGAGAAAAUAAGAGUGGUGUUUGACUGCUCAGCCAAAUUUGAAGGCACAUCUCUAAAUGACCACUUACUCACAGGGCCAGACUUAACAAAUGCUCUGACUGGAGUGCUGUGUAGAUUUCGUGAGCAUCAGAUUGCUAUUGUUUGCGAUGUGGAGAAGAUGUUCCAUCGCUUUCAUGUCAGUCCAGAUGAUCGUGAUUUCCUGAGAUUCCUAUGGUGGGAAGAAGGGAACACUGAAAUGGAACCCAAGGAAUAUCGCAUGCGAGUUCACAUUUUUGGAGCAGCAUCCUCUCCAGGGUGUGCGAACUAUGGCAUGAAAUAUCUAGCCAGCAAAUGUGAAAAGGACUACCCACUGGCAGCAAGCUUCAUUCGCAAAAACUUCUAUGUGGAUGAUGGUCUUGUCAGCGUUGAUUCCAAAGAGAAGGCCCACAAGUUGAUUAGCGAAGCAAAAGAUGUUUUGGCCAAAGGAAAACUGCGCUUACACAAGUUUGUGUCCAAUAGCAGAGAAGUUUUGAAUGCAAUACCAGAGAGUGAACGUGCCAGUGUAGUAAAGGAUGUUGAUCUGAACUACAAUGAGCUUCCAAUGCAGAGUGUACUGGGAGUAAAGUGGAACAUAGAAACUGAUACAUUCUCAUUUAAAGUCGACCUUACUGAAAAGGCUGCCACUCGAAGGGGAAUUCUAUCAGUGGUUGCAAGUGUGUACGACCCUUUAGGUUUUCUUGCUCCUUACGUCUUUGUUGGAAAAAGAGUGCUCCAAGAGAUGUGUAAAAGAGGAGUAGGAUGGGAUGAACCUCUUCCCUCUGAUCUGAAGCCAAAGUGGGAUACAUGGCUCCAUGACUUGGAAAAUCUCCAAAGGAUUCAAAUACCAAGAUGCUUCAUUCCUGAAAAUAUGGGCAAAAUCCAGAAAAUUGAACUGCAUCAUUUUUCAGAUGCCAGCAGUGAAGGUUAUGGACAGUGUUCAUAUAUCAGGACUGUUGCUGAUGAGCAAGUGCAUUGUGCGCUGGUCAUGGGAAAGGCCAGAGUAGCCCCUACAAAGGUUUUCAGCAUACCACGCCUUGAGCUGACUGCAGCCACAGUUUCAGCAUCAGUAAGUCAUCUUCUUAGAGAAGAGCUAGAUCUGGAGAUAAAUGAGGAGUUUUUCUGGACGGAUUCCCAGAUAGUAUUAGGGUAUAUCAAGAACGAAGCCAGACGCUUUCAUGUUUUUGUGGCUAAUCGUGUCCAGAAAAUAAGAGACUCAACAGAUCCAAAGCAGUGGUUCUAUGUGGAAACAAAUCAAAAUCCAGCAGACUGUACAUCUAGGGGUUCCAAGGUGGCAGACCUAAUUGACUCAAGUUGGUUGAAAGGCCCAAAGUUUCUAUGGGAAAAAGAAAUUGUUACUCAUAAAACUUCCCCAAAGCUUCUUGUAGGUGACCCUGAGGUAAAGGUCCUGAAAACAGAUGCUUGUGUAAGAGACAACUUUCUUGAAAGACUGACAAGAUUCUCAGAUUGGAAUACAGCACUCAAUGUUAUAGCUAGAAUCAAAAGACUUGUGAAAAGAGACAGAUCAGGGUUCAUUAGUGUAGAGGAGAGAGAGAAAGCAGCUCUUGUGCUUAUCAAGGCAGCACAAAAAGAAGCCUUUGAAGAAGAACUGAAAUGUCUCAGUCAAAACCCUGCUAAGCUACCAAAGAAUAACAGGUUAUACCAACUUGAUCCUAUUCUCCAGAAUGAACUGCUCAGGGUUGGAGGACGGUUAAGAAAGUCUAACGCAGCAUUGGAGUUGAAACAUCCAAUAAUUCUUCCUAAGGAAGGCAUUGUCACACAGCUGAUACUUGACCAUUGCCACAAGAAAAUUAAACAUCAAGGUCGAGGUCAAACCUUAAAUGAGCUCAGAUCCAGUGGAUAUUGGAUAAUGGGUGCAAGCAAUGUAGUGGCCAAACACAUCAAAAAUUGUGUUACAUGCAGAAAGCUGCGCAGACCAGUUGAAGAACAGCGCAUGGCUGACCUUCCAGCUGACAGAGUAGAACCAUCACCCCCAUUCUUGUAUUCUGGUAUCGACUGUUUUGGCCCCUUCUACACGAAACAAGGUCGGAAGGAAUUUAAAAGAUGUUUCAUAGCAAUCAGAGGAGCCGUGCGACAGAUCAGAUCCGACCAAGGCACAAAUUUCGUGGGGGCAAAGAAUGAGCUGGAGAAAGGUUUGAAGGAUCUAGACCAAGAGAGGAUCUCUACCUAUCUUGCAAGCAAACAGUGUGAUUUCCUUAUGAAUGUUCCUGAAGCAAGCCACAUGGGAGGUGUGUGGGAACGCCAGAUAAGAACAGUAAGGAGUGUGAUGAACGCUGUUCUGGCACAAGCUAAAGGAAGACUGGAUGACACCUCAUUAAGGACAUUGUUCUACGAGGCAAUGUUAAUUGUGAAUAAUCGUCCGCUUACCACUAACACAAUAAAUGACCCAAAGAGUCUUGAGCCUUUGACUCCUAAUCAUCUGCUUACGAUGAAGACAUCAGUGCCUCUGCCUCCUCCUGGCAAAUUUAUUCGUGAAGAUCUGUACGCUAGGAAAAGGUGGAGAAGAGUGCAAUACUUGUCAGAGCAAUUUUGGAGCAGAUGGCGUAAAGAAUACCUGGCCAACUUAAGCCUCAGACAACAAUGGCACAAACCUAGAAGAAAUGUUCAAAUUGGAGAUGUAGUGAUUGUCAAAGAGGACAAUGUUCACAGAAAUGAAUGGAGGUUAGCUAGAGUUGUUGAGACAAGUGCAGAUGAUGAUGGACUUGUAAGAAAGGUUAAACUCCAAAUGGGACAAAGUAAGUUAGGUAAAAAGGGUGAGAGAUUGACACAAAUAACUUUUUUGGAACGUCCAAUUCAAAAAAUAGUGGUAAUAGUUGAGAACAAUUCCUAAACUACGAGUAUACACACAGUUUUCUUAACAUACAGAGUAGUGUUGUUCAAAGAAAAUGAAAAUAACUCUGAUGUUGAAAGUGUUGAAAGAAGAAUGAAAGUUAACUGACAGCUUAUAGGAAAAUUACAGGCUUUAUUGGUUUCAGUUAAAAAGUACAAAUUUCAUAAAUCCUUGUAAUUUUGGUGGCAGUGUAGCUGACACAGAAAAAGUGUAUUUCUUGUUUAAUAUUUUUGUUACCUUUUAUAAGUAUUCGUUUGUUUGUUACAAAUGUUGUUUAAUAAUUGAAUGUUUAUUUGAGUAUUUGUAUUUUAUCUUCUUAACAAUUGCCAAUAGUGACACCUACUGGUGAAAAUAUGUAGCAUUGUACGUAUGUAGGUCACGUGUGUUUGAUAAGCUGCAUUGAACAUUGGGAAAGCACGAGGUGAUCACACGAACGGAGAAGUGUAAGAUCAAAAGAAGUGUAUAGAUUAAUAAGAUUGUUUGUUAAGAAGAUUUCUAAUGUCUCCUGAAUCCUGAUUGGAAAGCACACGUUUUUCACGGUGCUCAGUUGAUGUUUGUGAUGACAAGGGGACAGACAUUAAAACUGAAAAUCUGAAUCUGAAGGCAUCAGUUGAAGCGUGUUUAUUUUCUAAUCACGGAGAAAAACUUCAGGAGCCGUUAUA